GAGGACUGCGCUCCAGGAUGCAACCAAAGCCGGGUGCACAGCAGCCGGCAUGGCGCCAAAACUGAAGCCCUGAGCUGCUCUGCGGUGCUACCCUUUGUCCCUCCAGACUCUCUUUUCCUUCAUCUGUUUGUCAGUAAACCGAAGCCACCACAGUUUGUCAUUUGGAUGAUUUUCGCCAGAUGGAGAAGCUGCAGCUCCAGACUCUUGACAGCCGCACAACUUCCAAGGCAGUGGCCCCGCGGGCUGCAAACCCCACCUUCCUGCAGUUGCAGAGCCAGCUAAGAGAUGCUGGGUCUGGGACGGCUCCACUGGAACCUGAGAUGACCUGAGGGUGUCCCAGUGAUAUAACAUAUGAGGAAAGCAGAAACAACUAAGAAAUAGACUCUGAAUGUGGCAGAUUCUAGAACUGAGCAAUGCAAGAACAGCCUAAUAAGCUGUGUGACUAAUCACUGCAUGAAACGGAGGGAGAGAGUUGUGCAGCUUCCAAGAACCUUCCUUAAGAGAUUAUGUCAGUUCACCCCUUGCCUUCUUCUUCUUCAUUCCUUCCUCCAUCCUGCUGACUAGAAUGAAGAGAUGUUGUCAUCUUGGACCAUGAGGUCAAGGCCAUGAGUGGACCAACAGGAUGUAAAUGUCAUGAGGGCAGGGAUUUUGUCUGUUCCCCAUUCCCCAGCUGCUGUGACCCCAAUGCCUAGUCGGUGCUAAAUAAAUAUUUGCUAAGUGAAUGAAUGAA
rnacentral:lncRNA from 1 species